ACAGAGUCCCCACCCCUCCUGGUAGACGUUGCCCUCACUGCCAGCCUCAAACCCUGUCCACUUGCACACCAGGUCACUGUUCUGGUGCUGGGUCUAAGGUGACAGCCAGAACUCUGAUCCAUAAAGUACAAGGCCUGGAUGGAGGUCCAGAGGAAGAAAAGCAGCCCUGUCUCCUGCUGUCUCGUAACCAUUUCCUCAAUCAAGCUGUCAGAAAUUACUGCUGCACCGCUCAACUGACAGGGAAGAGAGAUUCUGAAAAAUAUUCAGAAAGACAGAAGUACAGCAUCUUACACAUUUUGUCUGUGUCUAGCCCACUGCCUGAAUUCUUCCAGUUCAGCAGCUAUAAAAAUUCUACCCAAGGGCUUUCUUAGCUCCACUGCCAACAGCAGUUCCCCAAUCCUAUUUCCCACUAGGUGUCAAGUUCUUCCAUCAGGAGCUGGAGGUUCCNNNNNNNNNNNNNNNNNNNNNNNNNNNNNNNNNNNNNNNNNNNNNNNNNNNNNNNNNNNNNNNGACGCGUGCUUGGCUCUCAGCUCAGAGCAGAGGCAGCUAUGGAAAUCAGUUUCUGAGGUUACCGGUGUUGAAGGCGCUGGAUGCUCAGAGGCUGGUUCACACGUCUGAACUGUUUGGGACUAAGCCCUUCUCUGCCAACCUUUGGUCCAGUCUUCUGCGAUGUCCCAUUUCAUUUAUUCAUCUCCUUUCCACAAAAAAGAAGUUCAUGGAGAAAAUUCAAAUGCCAGAAGUGAUUUUGUCCUGAGCAGCUUGGAAUUCCCUCAACCCCAUGUGGUUAGAAUUCCCCAUCAGGUGACAGAGUUGCUGGAGACCAAGCUGCCUCCUCCCCAGCCAGCAUGCCCCACAGGUCGCUCUUGCUGGGUCCUGCAUCGGCCUCCAGGGGCCUGAGUCAGAACCCAGCAGAGAGCUCAUGCUCGCCCGUGGAGGGGGACAUGGAGCUGACCCUCUCCAGCCUCUCUGUGGAGAGGAAGGGGAGCCACUUGGCCAGGUGCACAGCCACCAGCCGGUGGAACAACUGCCGCAGAUACUUGCGGAACCUCUCACCGACAAAGACGUAGAUCACAGGGUUGACGCAGCAGUGAGUGUAGGCGAUCACCUCUGUCACUUGAAUGGCCAGGUCCAGCUGUCUGCUCUGCUCACACUUAUAGGUGAACAGGGAAUCUUGGAAAGCGGAAACAAACACACUCAGAUUGUAGGGCGUCCAGAAGAGAAAGAAGAUGAUCAUGAUGACAAAAAUCAGACGCACGGCUUUGGCCUUCUUCUCAUUUGGUCUUCUGAGCAGAAUCUUUAUAAUCCCCGUAUAGCAGACAAUCAUGACCAAGAGAGGCAAUAUCAGCCCCAAGAUGUUCAGUUUCAGAGCCUGGAACUGCUUCCACUUCGUGAAGCUUUCAGGAGGAAAAUGAAGACUGCAGGUGUAGUGGGUGAACUCCCACUGGGUCUUGGAAAAGUACAAGCCUGGGACAGAAGCCAAGAUGGCCAGGACCCAGACGACAAUGCUGGUGACGAUACCAAAGGUGACAGUCCGAGCCCGCAGAGCAAACACGGCAUGGACGAUGGCCAGGUACCUGUCGAUGGUCAGCAGGACGAUGAAGAAGAUCUCGCUGUACAAGCCCAUGAAAUAGAACCCAGAGAGCAACUUACACAUGGCGUCACCGAAAACCCAGUCGUCCUUCACCUUGUAGUCGAUCCAGAAGGNNNGCGUGAAGAGGAAGAUGAGGUCAGAAAUGGCCAGGUUGAGGAGGUAGAUGAUAGAUAUCCUCCAUCUAUAGGAUUUUCCACAGAAGAUUUCUCGACCGGGUUGCCAUUCCCAUCUCAAAGAUAUCUCUUUGAGCCUCUUGUAUUGCAUGAGGACCAGGAACAUUAGGAUGUUGCUGAUCAGGCCAAUGACAAACACCACCGAGUACAAGGGGGGCAGCAGCUGGG
ensembl:lncRNA